rnacentral:rRNA from 1 species
GACAGAGGUGCCGAGCGUUAGGCGGAAUCAGCUGGGCUUAAAGCGUGUGUAGGCGGUAUCGGUAAGUACCUUGUGAAAUCCCACAGCUUAACUGUGGAACUGCUUGGUAUACUGCCAGUCUUGAGCCAGCUAGGGGGCUACCGGAACAAAUGGUGGAGCGGUGAAAUGCGUAGAUAUCAUUGGAACGCCAUGGUGAAAACAGGUACUGGGGCUGUGCUGACGCUGAGACACGAAAGCCAGGGGAGCAAACGGG